CUCUUCCCAGAUGACCCUGGUGUCAAUCAAGUUGAUGAAAACCUAGCCAGCACAGGGGAGCAAAGAGGUGGGGGACAGGGAGGAGGAGGGAAGAGAGCAAAGAGGAAGUGAGGAGGAAGGCUCCAGUGUGUGGCCCUAGACCCUAUCUCAAACCAAAGGUGUCUUCCUUGGAGAGCUGUUCACCUGAGAUCAGCUGAGGUGAGGCUUUCUGACAUGGGACACCUCCCUCAGGCACUGGCAGCUCUGCUGAGCACUGCAGGCUACUCUGCUUCCCCAAAGAGCUUCCUUCCUCCCCAGAGGCGCUCUGGCGCAACUUAGAACACACCCUUCCCUUUCUAUCACCUGAGAGUAGGCCAGGGUCAGGUCUGACCUCCUUUAAGUCAUGAUUCUUCAACUCCUAUCCCCCCUCUUUCUUUCUGUUUUAUACAUUUCUGAGUCUUUCACGAAGUAAGAGACUGAAUAAAAGCAUCUAAUGCAUGCUAGA
rnacentral:lncRNA from 1 species